rnacentral:lncRNA from 1 species
CAUGUUCAAUGCAAAACUGGGAGGUAGAACAGCAGAUUUAUGUUAGUCGCAUGGGUGAGGAGACAAUGUUCAAGCCAAGAUCAAAAGGGCAGGUAAGAAGGCAACUAAAUAUCUUUCCAUUUCUCCCUCCAUGCAUGAAGGAAAUUAUCUGGGCAGAGUGGACUGCAGGAACCCAGGCCCUACAGUGGAAAAGAAAGGGAUGUACUAGAGGGACAAGAGAAGGCUGGUGGUGCCCACUGAAGAAACUGAUGAUCACGAGCUCCUGGAGGGCAGAAACUGCAGUUUAUUCAUCUCUAUCCCCCAUGGGCUGCACGCAGGGCCCCGCACAUCGUAAGCACUCAAUAAACUGCUUGUUGAAUUGAAUUAUUACUCUCCACCACUGUUGUUGUGAUUGGCAUUCGUCCAUUUAGUCCAUUUGCCCCUUAAAAAUCUCCUGCCAAGACUCAAAAGUAAAGAUGCACAAGUACAAAGAGACACAUUUUUAACAGUUGAUGUUUUUUACUUGUUUCAUUUAAAAUGGACUCAAAUGAAAAGAAAUGUUUUCUUAAGUCUUGCCGGCUAGACAGAAAAGGUUAUCAGCAG